GGGGAAGGGCUGUGACUCAGUGGUGAGACAUCUGCUUGGAAUGCAGAGGGUCCCAGGUGCAAACCCUGCCAUCCCCA
rnacentral:tRNA from 1 species